rnacentral:rRNA from 1 species
AGUGAACGCUGGCGGUGGGCCUAACACAUGCAAGUCGAACGGCAGCACAGUAAGAGCUUGCUCUUACGGGUGGCGAGUGGCGGACGGGUGAGGAAUACAUCGGAAUCUACUUUUUCGUGGGGGAUAACGUAGGGAAACUUACGCUAAUACCGCAUACGACCUACGGGUGAAAGCAGGGGAUCUUCGGACCUUGCGCGAUUGAAUGAGCCGAUGUCGGAUUAGCUAGUUGGCAGGGUAAAGGCCCACCAAGGCGACGAUCCGUAGCUGGUCUGAGAGGAUGAUCAGCCACACUGGAACUGAGACACGGUCCAGACUCCUACGGGAGGCAGCAGUGGGGAAUAUUGGACAAUGGGCGCAAGCCUGAUCCAGCCAUACCGCGUGGGUGAAGAAGGCCUUCGGGUUGUAAAGCCCUUUUGUUGGGAAAGAAAAGCAGCAGGUUAAUACCCCGCUGUUCUGACGGUACCCAAAGAAUAAGCACCGGCUAACUUCGUG